ACAGCUGAAUAACCUUCUGUCUUAAAUGUUAUUAGCAAGCCUUCUCUAUUUGUUUUUUUAAAAAUAGAAUGGAUGGAACUGUAUUAUAGGUUGAAUUGUGUCCCUCCAAAAUCUAUAUCUUAACGUCCUAAUCCCAGUACCUCAAAAUGUGCACAUAGUUGGCAACAGGGACAUUGUAGAUAUAGUUACUCAAGGUGAGGUAAUUAGGGUGAACUCUGAUGUGACUAGUGUUCUUACAAAAAGAAUGGUGUGAGGAGAAGAGACAUACAGAGGAAAGCCCGUGAAGACGCAGGCAGAAAACCAUCAUCUGCAAGUCAAAGAGCGAGGCUUCUAAAGGAACCAACCCUGCUAAGACGUUGAUUUUGGACUUCUUACCUCCAGAGCUACACUGGGUUUUGGCAUGUUGCCCAGGCUGGUUUCGAACUUCUGGACUCAAGCGAUCCGCCCACCUCGUCCUCCCAAAGUGCUGGGAUUUCAGACAGGGUCCUGCUUGCCUCAUCACCCAGGCUGGAGUAUAGCAGCACAAUCAUAGCUGACUGCAGUCUCAAACUCCUGAGCUCAAGUGAUCCUCCCGUCCAGCCUACCGCGUAGUUGAAACUGCAGUUCCAGGAUCCCAUCCAGGAUACAAUAUUAUAUUUAGUUGCCAUGUCUCCUUGGGCUCCUCCUGGCUGUGACAGAUUAUCAGGCUUUCCUCGUAUUGAUGAUCUUGACAAUUCUGGGGAGUCCUGGUCAGGUAUUUGUGGAAUGUUUAUCAAUUGGAAUUUGUCUGUUUGUUUUUUCAUUUUUAGAUUGGGGUCAUCCAUUUUUGGGGCGAAGAUCACAGAAGUGAAGUGUCAUUCUCAUCACAUCAUAUCAAGGAUACGUACUAUCUGUACAACUUAACAGUGUUGACGUUGACCUUAAUCACCUGGCUGAGCUCAGAAAGUAGAAACAGCACUGCAGACUGCGGAGGUCAAGAACACUGGGCUACUUCUUCCCCCAAUUCCCAGUGGGAGCACUUUCUUUCUGAGAGGAGUAGGAUGUCAGUGUUUGUCAUCCUGCCACCAAAUACCUGUUCCGGAAGCUAAAUUUUGGCACCUGUUGUUUCCUGACUUUUUAAUGAUCGCCAUUCUAACUGGUGUGAGAUGGUAUCUACAGAAUGGGAGAAAAUUUUUGCAAUCUACUCAUCUGACAAAGGGCUAAUAUCCAGAACCUACACAGAACUCAAACGAAUUUACAAGAAAAAAACAGACAACCCCAUCAAAAAGUGGGCAAAGGAUAUGAACAGACAUUUCUCAAAAGAAAUAUAGCCAACAGACACAUGAAAAAAUGCUCAUCAUCACUGGCCAUCAGAGAAAUGCAAAUCAAAACCACAAGGAGGUCUUGAGAACAUGUGCCCAAGGUGGUUGAGGUACAGCUUGUUUUUAUAUAUUUUAGGAAGGCAUGAGACAUCAAUCAAAUACAUUUAAGAAAUACAUUGGUUUGGUUCAAAAAGGCGGGAUGACUGAAAGCAAUGGGGUACAGGUGGCCUUCCAGGCGGUAGGUCAACUUAAACAUUUUCUGGUUGACGAUUGUUUACUUUAUCUGAAGACCUGGGAUUAAUGGAAAGGAAUGUUCAUGUUAAGGUAAAGAAUUGUGGAGACCACGUUUUAUUGUGCAAAGGAAUCUCUCAGAUAGAGGUCUCCAGAGAGACAGCAGGUUGUAAAAUGUUUCUUAUCAGACCUAAAAGCUUGCCUGGCUCUUCUUAGUUGAUUAUCUCCUGGAUCUGGGAAAGAAGGAAGGAAAACAAAGGAGAAAGGAGAUUUCCUAUAGAAUGUGGAUUUUUGUCACAAGAGACUUUGCAGGACAAUUUUAAGGUAUGGCAAAGAAAUAUAUUUUGAGGUAAAACAUUGUGAUUUUCUUCCUUGUUAUGCCAGAGUCCGAUUGGAAAGUAAGUCAUGAUAUACAGGGCCAAAUGAAACCCAUCUGAUGAGAACUUAUGGUUUAUAGGGCAUGACUCCCCAGACCCCUUAGAUAGGAAUUUGGGCAAGAUAAAAAAUCAGAGCUUAGUCCUCAAAGGGAACCUGAAUAAGAUAAAUAAGUGACUUCUCCACAGAAAGGUAGUAAGAUAACAUAUUUAAAGACUCCUAUCCAGCAAAGCUAUCCUUUGAAAAAUAAAAUAAACUUAUUCCCAGAUAACUGAAAUAAUUUGUUACAAGAAAUACUAAGGGAAGUUCUUCAAACUGAAAACAGAUGAUGACAGAUGGUAAUUUGAAUCCACUAGAAGAAAGGAAGAGCACUGGUAAAGUAAUUAUGUAAUUAUAAAAGAUAGUUAAACGUGUAUUUUUCUCAUUUCUCAUCUUAGCUAAUAUGAAAAGCAAUUAUAUAAAGUAAUAUGUACCAUAAAGUAUUGUUAAGCCAAUAACAUAGAGAAAUGUAAUACAUUUGCAUUAUGGUACCAAAAACAACAUAAAGGAAGUGGGUGGGAACAAAGCUGUUUUGGGCUAAGAAAAUGACUGCAAGUGGUAAAUUAAUAGUUACAACUAUGUGUUAAGUUUGUAACAUUAAUAGAUGUAACAUGUGUAAUCAUAAUGCUACAAAAAGAGGAAAAGGGAAUGUAAGGGUUAACAUUUUUGUAUUAUAUACUAUAAAUAUAUAUGGCUUCAGUAACAAAGAAGCAAUACAGAUAAAGCAAAAACUGAUAAAAAUAAAGGAUGAAAUAGACAAGCG
rnacentral:lncRNA from 1 species